UGGGGAAUUUUGGACAAUGGGCGAAAGCCUGAUCCAGCAAUGCCGCGUGUGUGAAGAAGGCCUUCGGGUUGUAAAGCACUUUUGUCCGGAAAGAAAUCCUUGGCUCUAAUACAGUCGGGGGAUGACGGUACCGGAAGAAUAAGCACCGGCUAACUACGUGCCAGCAGCCGCGGUAAUACGUAGGGUGCAAGCGUUAAUCGGAAUUACUGGGCGUAAAGCGUGCGCAGGCGGUUUGCUAAGACCGAUGUGAAAUCCCCGGGCUCAACCUGGGAACUGCAUUGGCGACUGGCAGGCUAGAGUAUGGCAGAGGGGGGUAGAAUUCCACGUGUAGCAGUGAAAUGCGUAGAGAUGUGGAGGAAUACCGAUGACGAAGGCAGCCCCCUGGGCCAAUACUGACGCUCAUGCACGAAAGCGUGGGGAGCAAACAGGAUUAGAUACCCUGGUAGUCCACGCCCUAAACGAUGUCAACUAGUUGUUGGGAUUCAUUUCCUAGUAACGUAGCUAACGCGUGAAGUUGACCGCCUGGGGAGUACGGUCGCAAGAUUAAAACUC
rnacentral:rRNA from 1 species